GAAAAUCAGACCAAGCUUUUGUAUAUAAGAAAUGCAAAGCUACCACACCAGGAAGAUACUAAGAAGAGAUCUAAAUUCCUUCAAUUUGCUGUUUAGGAAUGACGAGUAACAAGUGAUGAAAACACCAGAGUGUUUCCUUUAUCUGCAUUUACACCUGCACCUCCUACAUCACUCUCCACUUUUUCACCAUUUUUUCCUUGGUUUUUUAAUCAGGUAAAAGUUCUUAGCGCAAUAGAUUCAAUUUUCACUAUUCACUUUUCCAUGGAUUUUCACUAUCUACCUUCCCCUUUCCGGAGGCGGAGGUAUGCAUUCAGGUGAACUCAAUAGCGGUAAUACCUUGUAUAUGUAUUACAAAUCUACUAAAUAUUCAUAAAUUAUUUAUUGUAUAUUUAAUUGAGGUCGAUGCAAGAAUUCAUAAACUUUAAAUUCUGGAUUCCCAUUUGUCAUUUCACCUUGUCUAUGUAAUGGAAAAGAAAAUAAUAAACAAAAAAAAAGAGAGGAUCGGAAAAAGAGGCUUCAUUAUGAUAAAGACAUGAAAGUACAAUGGAUUCAAAGGAGGUGCAGGUUCAAGUGCAGGUGAAUGACAUUUUGGAAAUCCUGAGACUAUUGAUGCUCUUAAUUAUAUAUAUUUAAGCCUUCUAAUUAAAGAAGAGUAAUCUUCAGAGUAUGAUGGAUUGUUUAGUUUCAGGCACAGCAGCCAAAAAUUGGAAUUUAAUGGUAGCUCAUUGGAGAUAAAGCAAAGGUAAGGAAUUCCUUAUUCUUGAAUAAAAUAACCUACGCAUAUUAUUUGUAAAUUUCAUCAAGAUCUAUGUAGUAAGUGUAGUAAACAGGUCUAGGAUAUACUAUUUUUUUUUUUUUUUUGAAGAUUUUUGCAGAUUCAGACUAAAAGUCUUUUAGGGCUUUAGAAUACGUCUAAACCCUAACCUCCUUUUAGCCUUUAUUCGUGAACGCAUAUUUUUCACAAAAAUUUGUGACAUGAUGAAAAUGAUCUAUAAAUUGAUUGUAUCUUCAAGUCUAAUUCGAUCUAUUAGCAAUAGACUGUUUGUUUCCAUUUUGUUCUUGAGGUAUAUCUACUUGUUUCUACCAAAAAAAAGUAAAACAAAAACAAAAUUAUAUUUGCUAGCUCUAAAUUCAGCCACCAACAAUUUUAUCUUUUGGAUUGAUUUACCUUUAAUUUUCCCUUCUCAUUCUUCAUAUAUAUUUUAACGCUGCUUCAUUAGCAUUACGAUAUUAUGAGUGAUAUAUAAAAUAACUUUAUUUAAUCUAACUGUAAUUAGUGAAGGGGUGUAUCCACCAAAGAUGGCAGCAAGAAAGACGGGAACACAAAUGAGGUAAUUUAUAUUUUCUUUUCACCAUCAAAAUAAAUUAAAAUGAAAUUCUGAGUUUGAUGGAGAUUUUCUUAUUUAUAUAAUAUAUCCUGGUUAAAAUAUUUUGGUGGUAACUAACGAAUGACACAGUUUAAUCAUUAAAGUUUAAAGAUGAGACGAAUUAAUUAGUCGUUCUUUUACUCUUUCUUGAAGUACAAUGGUUAUAAGUCUGAAUGCCAGCCAUAGUGAAGAUUCAUAAUAUAAAGUCAAUUCCAAUUAGCUUGGGAUUGACUAAUUGUUAUUGAACUGUAUUUGUAAAAUAAUUCUGGAGAAGAUAAAAUAACAUAUAAAUAGAAAUGUAAACGAAACAGAAUUUAAUCCGAGCCCACUGAAUUCACAGUGUUUCCUUAAGGAAUUUAAUCUCCUCAUAGUAACCCAGGUUGUGGAUUAUUUCCUCCCAGGAUAGAACGAAUUACACACUGGUGUAGCGAUACUUCAAACACCAGUGUUUCAGCGAAUACAAAGAUCGGUAGCAAAUCACACUUACUGGUGCUUUGUUUGUAGUUAAAACAAUGUANN
rnacentral:lncRNA from 1 species